UACAGAGGUGGCAAGCGUUGUUCGGAAUUACUGGGCGUAAAGGGCGCGUAGGUGGCCUUCUUAGUCAGACGUGAAAUCCCCGGGCUUAACUCGGGAACUGCGUCUGAUACUGGAAGGCUCGAGUUCGGGAGAGGAAUGUGGAAUUCCAGGUGUAGCGGUGAAAUGCGUAGAUAUCUGGAGGAACACCGGUGGCGAAGGCGGCAUUCUGGACCGAAACUGACGCUGAGGCGCGAAAGCCAGGGGAGCAAACGGG
rnacentral:rRNA from 2 species